GCCAGUGUGGCUCAAUUGGCAGAGCAGCUGAUUUGUAAUCAGCAGGUUGCGGGUUCGAGUCCCGCCGCUGGCUCCA
rnacentral:tRNA from 2 species